rnacentral:rRNA from 1 species
AUUGAACGCUGGCGGCAGGCCUAACACAUGCAAGUCGAGCGGUAGCACAGGAGAGCUUGCUCUCCGGGUGACGUGCGGCGGACGGGUGAGUAAUGUCUGGGAAACUGCCUGAUGGAGGGGGAUAACUACUGGAAACGGUAGCUAAUACCGCAUAACGUCGCAAGACCAAAGAGGGGGACCUUCGGGCCUCUUGCCAUCCGAUGUGCCCAGAUGGGAUUAGCUAGUAGGUGGGGUAACGGCUCACCUAGGCGACGAUCCCUAGCUGGUCUGAGAGGAUGACCAGCCACACUGGAACUGAGACACGGUCCAGACUCCUACGGGAGGCAGCAGUGGGGAAUAUUGCACAAUGGGCGCAAGCCCGAUGCAGCCAUGCCGCGUGUAUGAAGAAGGCCUUCGGGUUGUAAAGUACUUUCAGCGGGGAGGAAGGUGUUGUGGUUAAUAACCACAGCAAUUGACGUUACCCGCAGAAGAAGCACCGGCUAACUCCGUGCCAGCCGCCGCUGUAAGAC